GAGUAACGCGUGAGUAACCUGCCUUCAANAGGGGGAUAACAUUCUGAAAAGAAUGCUAAUACCGCAUGAUAUAUCGGAACCACAUGGUUCUGAUAUCAAAGAUUUUAUCGCUUGAAGAUGGACUCGCGUCCGAUUAGUUAGUUGGUGAGGUAACGGCUCACCAAGACCGCGAUCGGUAGCCGGACUGAGAGGUUGAACGGCCACAUUGGGACUGAGACACGGCCCAGACUCCUACGGGAGGCAGCAUG
rnacentral:rRNA from 1 species